AUACUUACCUGGCAGGGGAGAUACCAUGAUCACGAAGGUGGUUUUCCCAGGGCGAGGCUUAUCCAUUGCACUCCAGAUGUGCUGACCCCUGCGAUUUCCCCAAAUGUGGGAAACGCGACUGCAUACUUUGUGGUAGUGGGGGACUGCGUUCACGCUCUCCCCUA
rnacentral:snRNA from 1 species